rnacentral:rRNA from 1 species
UACGUAGGGUGCAAGCGUUAAUCGGAAUUACUGGGCGUAAAGCGUGCGCAGGCGGUUUUGUAAGUCAGAUGUGAAAUCCCCGGGCUUAACCUGGGAACUGCGUUUGAAACUACAAGGCUAGAGUGCGGCAGAGGGGGGUGGAAUUCCACGUGUAGCAGUGAAAUGCGUAGAGAUGUGGAGGAACACCGAUGGCGAAGGCAGCCCCCUGGGCCGACACUGACGCUCAUGCACGAAAGCGUGGGGAGCAAACAGG